ACAUAGAGAUAAAACAGUAUUAGAAGGACUCCAAGAAGCCUGGAAGAGGGAUGAAGCCACUUUGGAAUGCUGCCUCCAUAUUUGUUCUUUUGGUUAAUUCACUUCUUGGCACUACCACCAGAGGGCAGGCAAAGGAAGGGAGAAGCAGCAAUCACUUUUAGUGGGAAGUCUACCAUCUGCAAGCCCGGAAGAGAGGCUUCACCAGAAACGGAAUCAGCCAGCACUUUGAUCUUGGACUUUCCAGCCUCCAUAACUGCAAGAAAAAUGCAUUUCUAUUGUUUAAGCCACCCAGUCUAUGGUAUUUCCUUAUGGCAGCCCAAGCUGACUAAGACACAUGAUAUUCCAUCAAAAACAGAUGUUAUUUCAUCAGGGGUUGUCACAGUCACAAUAAUUGGAUGCGAAGACAUCAAAGAAUCAUCCUCUUGAACAGAUGACAGGCCGAGAAGACAUCAACUUCUGUGAAUUCUGCUUCUGCGACUUCUGUGUGACUUUUGGAUAUGUGCCAAACUUUUCAAGCCCUAUUUCUAUAUCUGUGCAAUGAGAAUGAUGACAUCACUCCACAGAUUUGGUCUAAGAAUUAAGAGAGGUUGCAUAUCAAUUUGCCAAAUAUUGAUGUUCAGGUUUUUCUAAUAUUAACUUGUUAUUGGAAUUUGGAUACUUCAUAAUUAAUGAAAGAAAAUAUUGGCAGUUUAUCCUUUAGUUCUAAUCACCUCUCGUUUCCCUCCUAGGUCUUGUCAGCAAUACAGACUGGUUGACAGGCCUAGCAGUACUGUCAGAUUUCCUUGGUUCAAAGCUCAGUCUUUUUACUUUCUAGAUAUAUAAGUUUAAGCAAGUUUCCUCACCCAUUAAAUAGAAGUAAUUAUGGCCUGUACUUUUUGGAACUGUGCACAGGACUCAGUGAUAAAAUUCAUGGUUAGUACUUGGCAUAGUACCUGGCACAGAAUGAGAACCUAACCCAUUAGCUGCUAUAGUUAUUUUGACUCUUAAGCAGUAAGAUUCUGAAAUCUAACUCUGCUAAAUCACUACUAACUUUAAAAAUUUCAUUGGCUCUACUUAAUUAAAAAUAUUUCCAAAACAGGAGUAUGUUGUAUUGGCUUACAUUUUCCAAUUAUGCGGGUUUCAUUUAUAACAGGAAAGGUACUGCUGUCAAGUGAUGACUGCCAAUCAAGAUAAUUUUGACUUGCAUUUUGAUUUUUGUAUACCUAGGAAGUUUAAGUAUGGUGAGUAGAAAGAUCCUGUUCUCAGUGUGAGGAAGAUUGACUAUACCAGCUGUGUGUGUGAUUUUGGAUUUUGCUACCAGCUGUGUGUGUGAUUUUGGAUUUUGCUACCACCUAUCUCUGUGAUGUUGGAAAAUUCUAUCAUUUUCCUGGCCUUCCGAUUUUUCACCAGUGAAACGAGGUAUUCCAUGAUUGUGGUAUUUAUUGAGCUCGCUUAUAAAAUAUCUUUAUCUAUCUGACCCUUCCAUCCACAAGACCUUAAAUUGAGAACUCCUUAAGGGCAAGAAGUGUAUUUUAUUCAUUAUUCAUUUUGGAGUCCUCCAUUUGCUGAAUGAAGAAUGAAUGAAUGGGCUGGGCUCGGUGGCUCACGCCUGUAAUCCCAGCAUUUUGGGAGGCCAAGGCAGGCAGAUCACCUGAGGUAAGGAGUUCAAGAUCAGCCUGGCCAUCAUGGCAAAACCCCAUCUCUACUAAAAAUAUAAAAAUUAGCCAGGAGUGGUGGCGAGGGCCUAUAGUCCCAGCUACUCAGGAGGCUGAGGCAGGAGAAUUGCUUGAACCCAGGAGGUGGAGGAUGCAGUGACCCGAGAUUGCUCCACUGCACUCCAGUCUGGGUGACAGAGUGAGACUCCAUCUCAAAAAGGAAAAAAAAAAAAAGGAAUGAAUGAAUAGAUGAAGGAAUGAAUUAAUUGUUGUGUUGAACGAUGUGAUUAAAUUUCACUUAAGAAGUGCACAGCAAAUUCUUCUGGAAUUUAGCCAUUGCUUUUGAAACACAGUACUUGGAAUAUUAGACAAUAUUAAAAUGUUAUAAUUUCUUAUAACAGUUUGCUAUAAGGGCCUCAGUAUACUGUAUGGGAGAAAAUAAAGGACAACACAAUUUUCCAUUUAUACAGUUUAUUUUCAAUAAAUUAUAAAAUCAGCAAUUUUCCAUGUAGAUGAGUAGUUUUCAACUGGAGGAGAUUUUUGUCCCCCACGAGACAGCUGGAAAUAUGUGGAGACAUUUUUAGUUGUCACAACAGGGGCUGGCAGGUUACUGGCAUUUAGUUAAUAGAAGUCUGGGAUGCUAAGUAUCCUAUAACGCACAGGAAAGUCCCGCACAAAAAAAGAAUUAUCUACUCCAAAAUGUCAAUAGUUCCAUAGUUGAAAAAAAUCCAGAUGUAGAUAAGAUUUUUAAAGAAGUAAUUGUUGUAAAUUAGGCUUUUCGCUUUGUAAAGCAGGCUACAGAAACUGUAAGGGCUUCAAGCAUUUAACUUUUUUGUUCUGUCCAGUAGAGGGCAGUAUUUUACACAGUACAAAACCUCUUGUAAUUAGACACAUCCACCUAUUUGCACAUUCAUAUAUGCAAUCAAGAAUACUCCCAUGAUAUAAAUAUAAAUAACAACUAUACCUAGCUUUUCUGAAAAAAAAUUUUAGGGUUCAUAAAAGUUUCUAUUCCAGGCCUCUGAGGGACACACUACCUGUUAAUAGUCAUUACAUGCACAUUUGGGAGCUUUUAAGCUUACAAGAUAGAAAAUAAUGUUCUAUUUCAUAAAGGAGAAAAUGGACUCAGAUAUUAUGUAACUUGCUCAAGGUCAUAUUCCCUGUCAUGCAUCUAAGAAAUGAUGUGUUCAGGAUUUGAACUUCAAUCUAACUAAUCUAACUACUAAAUUUAUGUUAUCUCUUCAUCACACUGUUUCUGCAAUCUGUCUGAAAUAAAGUAAGUCGUUC
rnacentral:lncRNA from 10 species